AGCAGCUUGGCGCAGUGGAAGCGCGGUAUGUUUACUCGAAUCUUGUGUACAAAAUUCGCACUAACAAUUCCUCAGCCGGGCUCAUAACCCGGAGGUCACUGGAUCGAAACCAGUAGCUGCUA